GACGAACGCUGGCGGCGUGCUUAACACAUGCAAGUCGAACGGAAAGGCCCCCAUCUUGGUGGGGGUGCUCGAGUGGCGAACGGGUGAGUAACACGUGGGUGAUCUGCCCUGUACUUCGGGAUAAGCUUGGGAAACUGGGUCUAAUACCGGAUAGGACCAUGGUUUAGUGUCUCAUGGUGGAAAGAUUAUUGUUUUGGUGCAGGAUGAGCUCGCGGCCUAUCAGCUUGUUGGUGGGGUAAUGGCCUACCAAGGCGUCGACGGGUAGCCGGCCUGAGAGGGUGGACGGCCACAUUGGGACUGAGAUACGGCCCAGACUCCUACGGGAGGCAGCAGUGGGGAAUAUUGCACAAUGGGCGCAAGCCUGAUGCAGCGACGCCGCGUGGGGGAUGACGGCCUUCGGGUUGUAAACUCCUUUCGUUAGGGACGAAGCCGCACUUUUUUUGGGUGUGGUGACGGUACCUUUGCUAAGAAGCACCGGCUAACUACGUG
rnacentral:rRNA from 1 species